ACUUUCACUGAUAAACUCGCUUCACCACUGUUUACAGAAUCUUUUCUAUUUCUCUAAUCUCUUAUUGCUAUUUUACGAUUUUUGCUUUUAAAACAACUCUGUAGGGCUUCGUACUACGAGUAAUACCAUCGCACCUAUUCAAUUGAAUAUCGUUUACCUAACUGCUGAAGGAGAAGGUUCAUUUUUUGGUGCAAAAUAGACGUUUUCAAAAGCCACUAAAAGCCUGCAUAGUGCAUGUUUCUAACAAAAAUAAUGAUUUUAUAAGCAAUAUUGCCUAAAUUUCCACCGAAUCCUACCGUUUAGAGGAAAUUUUGACUCAAGUUUCAAUGCAAACAAUUGAUAUAAAAUUAAAUAUAAAAGUACACACAUCGUACACUACUAUAGAAAGAAAUCGCGACGGACUGUUUGCUAAUUGCUUUAUUAUCCCAUGAAUUCUAAACAACAGCUUCUUAUUUCGAACAUAUAUUUUAAUUAAUUAACGCGUAUUUUUUUACCUUAUCAAAAAAAGUUCAUUUUUUAUGGCCGUUAGGUUGUUCUUAUUCGAAAACCAUAGAGAUUCGAACCACUUGAAUCUUCUCGGCAAUUACAUAAAUCACAAAAUGUGAAGUUUGUUCGCAACACUUCAAAAUGGCCCACGGCCCAGUUCCAUAUUUGCAUCUACCUCUGCACCCCACACCUCACUUGAAAAUGGAAAGCCCAACACACAUCGAUAGGAGCGGGUUCCUUCGCCGUCAUCGGAAAAGAUCUCGCGAACCCCAAGUGAUGACCAAGCUUUCAUCUGGUGGUAUACCCUCUGCGAGUGUUGCCGUGCUGCACAGGCAAUUGGAGACAGAGUAACCAGAUUACGUUGGUUUGGGGAAAGAUAUCGUACGUAAGUGUUGGAAUUUUUGCCGUCAACAGCUGCCAUUGGCCACAUUUCGAUACAUCUCGAACCCAAUAUUCCGGCCCCAUCAACCGAAUUCCAGGUCCCAAAUGGAAAACAAAUUCAUUCUUCAGCCACCGAUUGUAAUCUUAUGGUCCGAAAGCUGCAGCAAAAUUACAGUUUACUGUAGGCCAGUGAAUUCAAACCGUAACGUAAGGAAUCUUGAGACCUUCAGUUGAUAUUGAAAACACAUAUUUUUAAAUUUAGAAAGAAGAUAUAAUUUGAAACAAAUAGUGUUAUUUGAAUACACGGUGUUCAACAACGAGUUGAAGGGAUUAUUGUAUGGAAAACUUUAUUCAAUUAACAGUUUUGUUCGACUCAGGGUUUUACCGGAAGUCGACUCAUACUUUGGAAUGGGAUGCAUUCGUAUAGAUUUAUAUUCAUUUUGCGCUAAAUUUGGACUAUAUUUGAAUGUCACAUGACAGCGAUAGGGUUUUGAUUUGCACAAUUUUUUUGUUUUUACAAAAACCGUUCAUUUUUUAUGAAGGGGGUGCAAUCAUAGAUUGCUUUUAUUUUCUAGUGUAUAAUCUACUUUCAUGACUGAGUACUUUGUAUAAUCUGCUACAGAAUUACAUUUUGGACAAUGUAUAAGUUUUACUUUCACACAUACUGGUGUGUACAGUGCGGUUCAAGUACCUGGGGAUGUGGGAUCUCCGUAACAGAUAAAGUUCAAGUUAAGUGGAGAUAAAGUUGCCUCUGUUUGUGACUAAAGAACGCAUUUGAAAUUUAUGAAGACUGUUUGAAAGUAAUUAAGGGCAAAAAAAGAAUGUAAAGCAACUUAUUUUGAAAUUGUUCUUGUAAAUUUAUGUAAAAAUACAGUGUGUCUGUGUCCACUACCUCAUUUGAAAUUUGAAAUUUUCAGUUUUUCUGUAAUAUCUCAGUUAUUUUCAAAGAUUUUUCAAAAAUCACAAAAAUGGGCAACUUUCCCCUUUCUGGGGUCUGGGACUGGAAGUUUCUCCUCGAUUGAAAUGUUUGCCGUUGCCUAUUCAAUUUUGCAUUCGGUUGAUCAAUUAUACUGCCACUACUUUCAGUCCCCCCCUUCUGCAAUAUCAUCAACUGUGACAGUACCAAACACCCAGGAAAAAAGUGUCGAUAAAAGACCGGCCUGUACCAUUUUGUCGACUAUUUUUCCGUCUACUCAGCGGAGUACCACACAGCGCAAAACCUAGAUAAUGGAGAAUGCGGCAUAAACUAAAAUUCUUCUACAAGCCUUGACAAUCACGCCAUAUCCCACGACACUAAGACGCCUAAGGUUCCAACGCAGUUAAAAAGUGACGAGGGAUCACAUAAUAUACUGCUAUGUCUACCUGGUCGCCCAGUAUGAUCCACACAAAAAUACAAAAUACUACAAAGGUCAAGCAGAACUUCAAGACUAACAUUAAGCGAGAUUAAAUGAGACUGUCACGAUCAUCAUCAUGAUCGAUUUAAAAGGCCACAAAUUUAAUUGUAUUUAUUUUUAACAAUUUUUAAUCUACACAUUGACACAAACAAUAGGUAUAUUAUGAAAUA